rnacentral:rRNA from 1 species
CGUAGACGGCUGUCUAAGUCUGGAGUGAAAGUCCUGCUUUCAAGGUGGGAAUUGCUUUGGAGACUGGAUGGCUUGAGUGCGGAAGAGGUAAGUGGAAUUCCCAGUGUAGCGGUGAAAUGCGUAGAGAUUGGGAAGAACACCAGUGGCGAAGGCGACUUACUGGGCCGUAACUGACGUUGACGCGCGAAAGCGUGGGGAGCGAACA